UCCGGCCGUCGGAUCCGGCCAUCCGGCCGCCGGAUCCGGCGGUCCGGCCGUCGGAUCCGGCGGUCUGG
rnacentral:pre_miRNA from 1 species